ensembl:lncRNA
AUGCCAAUAGUUUAAUAAAAACAAAUAAAAUGACAAACAUACGGCAAAAUAUAGACAAAAAUGAAAGUGUAAACAAAAAAACAGUGGUAGUUAUUGAUAGGACUUGUUAUAAGCUAGAACAAAAUGGUCAAAAUGAUAGGAACGAAAUCAAUUUAUCAAAACUUAGAAUUAUGCGUAACGAUAUAUUUUUAAAUAAUAAAAAAAAACUGACUAACAAUACAAAAGAGAAAAAAUUAGACGAACAUACAAACGACACAUAUGAACGAGAAAACAAAUGUAACAGUAACAUAUAUGCAAAAAAAACGUCUAAACAAAAAAGUUACGAUUUGAAUUUAAAUUCUUUAAGUAAUAAUCAUAGUAAACAUUUGGAUCAAAAUAGAGAACAAAAAUUAUUAAGAAAUUAUAGAACAAAUAUGACUGACAUUAAUAGUAAAUCAGCAGUUAGUAUUAAUGGAAAUUGGAUGUUAAGUACUAAUAUGUAUAAUACUGUAGAUAGUAUUCUUAAUGGCACAUUAAAUAAUCGAGACAAUAAUAACAUAGAUAACAGAAGUAGUAAUAAUAACAAUUUAAUAGAAAAUUAUUCAAAAAUUAAAAGUAAUAUACUACCAUAUCAAGAAGCGAAUAAAAAAAAGAAUCCUGUUUUAACAACUGUAUAUAAUAAAAAUAAUAAUCAAACAGAAAAAGAAAAGUUCUAUAAAACUAAGAACAUAUAUGUUUUUAAUAAAAUAGAAGAAAACAAAAAAGUACUUAAAAAUAAUCAAAAAGCAAUUAAUAACAGUUAUCAACGUUUUAAACUAAAAUAUACUAAUAUAAGUAAAAGUAAAUGUGUUUCUGACAACUUAGAAAAUUCUUGUCAUAACAAAAGAUUUUCUGUUAAUUAUAAACCGUACGGAAAAAUGCAAGACAAAACAGAUGAAGAAGGAUCUGUUUCUAUUUGCAGAAAAGAUUAUGAAUUAAAAAAAAAAAACGAGGUUAUAAAAAUAGAAAUGCCUAUAACUUGUACUGUUAAUAGUAAAUACAAUAAUAAUGAUGGUGUUGAUGAAUCUUAUGGCCCUAUACAAGAAACACAUGGGCGUGCAUAUAAUUCGUAUAAUAAUAAAAAUUUGAAUAAUAGCAAGAGUUUGUAUGAUCGUAAGAAUAGAGAAAAUGGUUUAGAAAAUAGUAAAAAGGGAAAAAGUGGUAAUAAAAAUAGUGGUAUAUCAAUCGAAAUAGACGAAAGUAUAAAUAAGAGCAAAAGUAACAGUAAAAACAAGAGCGGAAGCAAAAAUUAUAGUACUAAUUAUAAUACAAUUAACAAAGAUGAUAAAAACAAUACCAUUCGAAUUAACAUAGACAGUAGUCAUGUUAAUAGCCACAACGGAAACAAGUUAAGCAGCAAAAGAAAUAAUAUAAACAUAUAUGACAACUCCAAAUGUGACAACUACGAGAGCACUGAAAGCUAUAAUUAUAGCGGUAUAUUAACAUCCAUGGUAUCAUAUCUUUUAGGUCAGCAAAAUAAAAGGAAAUUGAAAGAACAAGAUUACAAGGUUAAUGGUAAAGCUAGUGGUACAGCUAGUGGUACAGCUAGUGGUACAGCUAGUGGUACAGCUAGUGGUAAAGCUAGUGGUAAAGCCAGUGGUAAAGCUAGUGGUAAAGCCAGUGGUAACAAUUGUUAUAAAAACGAAAACAAUACAGAAAUAAACGAGUGUAAUUAUAAUAGUAGCAAUUACCAAGAAAAUAACUAUAACAAUAUGUACCCUUUAAUCAAUCAAAAUGGAAAUAAAGAUAUGAAAAAAAAAAAUGAAUAUAAUAACAUUUGUUCUAACAAAUUAAUACAAAAUAUACAACAAAAUACAUCAAAUGAAACCAUAUUAUUUUUAACAUUAAUAAUUAUGAUAUGUAUAUCUGUUUUAUGUAAUUAUGAUCAUGGUGCUAUCCCAGUAACUUUAGAAGAAAUACAAAAAGAUUUCCCCAUGAGUUACAUAGAACAGUCAUUACUUGGUAGUUUAGUUUAUUUUGGUUUAAUUAUAGGAACUAUAAUUGCUAGUAUAUUAUUUGAAUUAUUAUCAGCUAAAAUAUUAGUCACAAUAAGUAUUAUGUUGCUAUCUAUAUCUUUGUAUAUAUUUAGUCAUGCUACGUGUGUUACUUUUAUGUAUAUAUCUAGGUUUAUUAAUGGUUUAUGCCAAGCUAUACCUGUUGUUUAUUUACCUGUAUGGGUAGAUGAGUUUUCACCGAAUGAAAAAGCUACUCAAUGGAUGUCUUAUAUUCAGCUAGCUUCAAUAGGAGGUACUGUCUUGGGUUAUUUUUUAGGUGGCAUAUUAUCAAAUAAUUAUAAUACUUAUAAUACAAAUGAUUUUAUAUUUACUCAUGUUUCAAUUUUAACUACAUGGAGAUCUCCUUUUUUGAUACAAGCUUUUUUAUUAAUACCAUUAUUUUUAAUACUUAUUUUUAUUCCGUCAAAUAUUAUUAAUAUUAAUUCAAACAGUAGCGAAGAUGGUAGUAUUACAAGUAACAAUAGCACUAUGAUUUCUAAUGUUUAUAAAAAUAAUUUAAAUAAAUAUAAAAAAAUAAUAACUGAUUAUGAUGAAUCUUAUCAUGGUGACACAUAUGGAGAUACGCAUUAUAAUACUUGUGAUGAAAAUGAUGACACAUACAUUUAUCAAGAACAGUACGAGUUAUUGCCCAAUGAUGUGAGCGAUACUGAUGAAAAAAUCUAUACACAAGUUGAUCAAGUUAGUCGCAACAGUUAUGCUAUUAUUACUACUAAUAAUAGCAAUAAUAAUAAUAACAAAAAAACAAAAAAAAUGAAUGAACAAAAUUCAAACAUAAACAAAGUAUCAAAGCAAAAUAUGAAGAAAAUAAUAAAUGAUACUAGUGGAACUACCACAAAUAACACCUUUUAUAGUGGCAAAUAUAGUUCGAAUAAGACAUACCUCGACAUCAAUACCUCUACUGCUAAUACUACUACUACUACUACUACUGCUACUCCUACUACUACUGCUAAUAAAAAGAAGAAAAAAAAUACUAUCGACACAAGUUACAACAAACAUAGUAUUUCUUUCAACAGGUCAGCCACAUAUAUAAUGGGACGUAAAACGAAUGUAUUAAAAAAAACAUUAAAUGAAGUAAAAAAAUUACUUAACAAUAAAUUAUAUAUAAUUGUAACAUUAGGCAUGAGUAAUUUGUAUUUUGUAGUAACAGGAAUACAAUUUUGGAUAACCGAAUAUAUGUCUGUAGUACUAUUAACAGAAAAAAUGAAAAUAGUUACAGUAUCUACAUUAUGUUUUUUAACAUCACCUACAUCUGGAGUUUGGUUUGGUGGCUUUGUAUGUGAUAAGUUUGGAGGAUAUAAAAAUACUAAUUAUGCUAAAACAGUUAAGGUUGCAACUGCCUUUGCUAUUUGUGCUUGUAUUUUUGGCAUAAUAUCAGCUCAUUUAAAUAAUUUUGUUAUUUUUUCGAUUACGUUAUGGCUUUGUUUAUUUUUUGGGUCAGCACUUGUUCCGGUAGCAGUGGGUAAGUGGACUGUUUGUGUGUGUCUGUGUGUGUCUGUGUGUGUGUCAGUAGUCCUACAUACUACCAAUUAAAAAAAGUUGUUUUGUUGCCUAUGCGGUAGCUAUACACAUUAGUUAGGUAGUAGAUAUUUAUUUUUUUUUUAUUUUUUAUUUUAUUUUUUAUUUUAUUUUUUUUUUUUUUUUUGUAGGGAUGUUGUUAUCAUGUGUAAGUAAUAAUCAAAAAAGUUUAUCUUCAGCUGUGUCACAAGUGAUAUAUAAUGUAUUCGGUUGGUUCUCAGCUCCUUUAUUGUCAGGCAUAAUAAUGGAUAUCAUGCAUAAAUACACUAAUAACAACAGAUUGGCUUUAAAGUAUGUUAAAACAAAAACAAAAACAAACAAAUAAGCUAGUUACCCAGUACAAUUGUAUGCGUAGAGAUAUACGUGUAUGUAUAUAUUCUUUUUAAAAACGCACCUUACAUUGUUUCAAUUUUUUUUUUUUUUAAAUUACACACAGAGCUGGUUUCACAAUGAUACUGUACUCGAGUUUUAUUGGAUUUAUUUUAUUGUUUUAUGCGAACUUCUUGGUAAUAUACUUAAAAAAAAAAAAAAAAAAAAAAAA